CUACAUUUAUGUGUAAGUUAAUACUACAUUUAGUUUUAUAUUUUAGUUAAUUUUUACUUUAAACCUACUUAUAUUUACUAGUUUUUAUUAUGCUAACAUAUUAGCUAAUAUUACAUUUAGAGAGGAGGCAGACAUCAUGAUGGAAUAGAAGAAAGGCUCUUUUAAGCUCCAAAAAAGCCAAAAAAGAGGAGCGCAGUUUAACGUCAUGUCUCGGGACAUUACAAUUAUUUUAGUGUUCACUAUAUUAAACCUGCAUUUAUUUACUAGUU